rnacentral:rRNA from 1 species
UUCUACGGCCAUGCCACCCUGAACAUACCCGAUCUCGUCUGAUCUUGGAAGCUAAGCAGGGUCAGGCCUGGUUAGUACUUUGGUAGGAGACCACCUAGGAAUACCAGGCGCUAUGGUGU